rnacentral:rRNA from 1 species
AGCGAACGCUGGCGGCAGGCCUAACACAUGCAAGUCGAACGAACCUUUCGGGGUUAGUGGCGGACGGGUGAGUAACACGUUGGAACGUGCCUUUAGGUUCGGAAUAACUCAGGGAAACUUGUGCUAAUACCGAAUGUGCCCUUCGGGGGGAAGAUUUAUCGCCUUUAGAGCGUCCCGCGUCUGAUUAGCUAGUUGGGUGAGGUAAUGGCUCACCAAGGCGACGAUCAGUAGCUGGUCUGAGAGGAUGAUCAGCCACAUUGGGACUGAGACACGGCCCAAACUCCUACGGGAGGCAGCAGUGGGGAAUCUUGCGCAAUGGGCGAAAGGCUGACGCAGCCAUGCCGCGUGAAUGAUGAAGGUCUUAGGAUUGUAAAAUUCUUUCACCGGGGACGAUAAUGACGGUACCCGGAGAAGAAGCCCCGGCUAACUUCGUG